rnacentral:rRNA from 1 species
CCUACGGGUGGCAGCAGUGGGGAAUAUUGGGCAAUGGGCGCAAGCCUGACCCAGCAACGCCGCGUGAAGGAAGAAGGCUUUCGGGUUGUAAACUUCUUUUAAGAGGGAAGAGAAGAAGACGGUACCUCUUGAAUAAGCCACGGCUAACUACGUGCCAGCAGCCGCGGUAAUACGUAGGUGGCAAGCGUUGUCCGGAUUUACUGGGUGUAAGGGGCGUGCAGCCGGGCUGACAAGUCAGAUGUGAAGUCCCGCGGCUCAACCGCGGAACUGCAUUUGAAACUGUCAGUCUUGAGUACCGGAGAGGUCAUCGGAAUGCGGGGUGUAGCGGUGAAAUGCGUAGAUAUAAGGAAGAACACCAGUUGCGAAGGCGGAUGACUGGACGGCAACUGACGGUGAGGCGCGAAAGCGUGGGGAGCAAACAGGAUUAGAUACCCGAGUAGUC